GUCAAUUUCCUAUAAAAAAUUAUUUUAACAGGUCGAAACAUUUGAGAUGUUUUGUACAUCCUGGCACGUAAAAUGUCAGUGGUUAAUGAGUAGCAGCCAUACAUUACGAAAAUAUAUAACACCAAGGUGUAGACUCAAAAUAUUUGGCCGACCCGAAAUUUUGACCCACCAGCCGCCACUGAUUGUCAUUAUCAUCACAAUAAUACCUACUAACGUAGGUAAAGUCGAAGUCCGUGGUCGAGGUCAUUGAAUCUGUCACAACUAUAACCUAACUUUAACUGUGUUUUGACCGUGGACCAAACUGAUUAUCAUUGAAUCUAUAUCUGCUUACAGUAAAAAACAGUAAAUAAUAAUGGAAUACCACUAUGUCUAAAAUAAAAUGCCAAUUUAAUAAUCACUGCAAUGAAACGUUUGUAGUAGAUAUAUUUGGUUGAUUGUAGAAAUGGUUAUGUUCGAGUUACACACAAGAAGCUCGGAUCAGCAGUUCUGUAGCACUUACAGGUGGCGAAGACCCUAAAACGCAGCAUGUGAAUAGCAGAAGUCUUGGAACGGCGACGACUUGUAAUAAAAUUUGUUCAAAAAGGAAGAAUUAUUCUGUGUGGCAGAGGGAACUACACCUCAAGCUUCGUAGUAGUUACUGAUUACUGGACUACUUUAAAUAAAUGAUUAUAUCGGAAUUCGAAAAAUUGCUGACAAAAGUGGUUGUGCUAGAAGAGAGAAGCUAGUAUUAGUGCUCUUAUACCAAAAUGUGUGACCAAUAGAUUACUGUGGUAGCCACAGGUGGUAGCUAUGAUGAAGCAAUCAAAAUAUUUUCAACUGUACUAAUACAGUCUAUGAUUGGUGUCGAACGUCGUAUAAAGGAAUGAGACCAGCGAACCAGUAACUAAGUGAUUUAUUGACAAGUGAUAAGUGAAAUGAAUAAGGAUGUCUCUCAAUGUUGAGAGUGAAUGAAAUGAAUGCUGACUGACUGAAUGUUAAUGAGUAAAUGACUACUGAAUGAAUCUUCAGUGAAUGCAUGAUUACGAAUGAAUGUCUAGAGAAUGAAUGAUUUGGCUACCCUAUGUUCAAGGGAGGGGGUGGCUCCGGACACCCUUACGUGUAGAGGGGUGAAACAGCCACCGCCGGAAGCGCUAAAAAUUGGAAAAAUGUAAUUUCGAUUUCCUAGAAAUAAGUCUAUCACACUUCAACAUUGGGUUGCAGAAAUCAUUAAAUGUAUCUUUACUUCAUGCAUCUAUGAAUGAUUAUUAUUUAAGCUAUUCAGGCAUACAAAAGACGUCUUAUUAAUUAUGUGAACAAAACUGCCCUACUAAACAACAAGUUUGUAUCUGUACUUUUGAUCAGUUUCACUUUAAUACUAUUUGUGUACUCAGAACACCUUAAUCUAGUAAUAAACAUUAAUUUAUAUAGUUAUUUAUGUAUCAAGUGCCGAAAAUAACUCUUUGCAUGUCAGCGAGGCCGUUUCGGCGUGAGAAACAUACAUUUUCUGUGCUGCUUUUUGAAAUACAUACAUUCAGUUACUACUUUCAUUAACAAAAACCAGUGACAUUACCUCCGUUGUGUUACACGUCAAUUUUAUAUUAUUCUUUUAAUUUAUUAUAAUAGCUAUUUAUGUAACACAUAAUAGUACAUAAACCAGGUCUUUAUUGACAAGCCGAUUUUAGUAGACGAGGGAGCGUAGCGACCGAGUUGAUAAAAAUAAAAAAUAAGGAAAACCAAUUGCAAAAUAAAUUUCUGAAAAUCCA